UCCUACGGGGAGCAGCAGUGAGGAAUAUUGGUCAAUGGGCGGAAGCCUGAACCAGCCAUGCCGCGUGCAGGAUGACGGCCCUACGGGUUGUAAACUGCUUUUGUACGGGAAGAAUAACCCCCUCGUGAGGGGGGAUGCCGGUACCGUACGAAUAAGGAUCGGCUAACUCCGUGCCAGCAGCCGCGGUAAUACGGAGGAUCCGAGCGUUAUCCGGAUUUACUGGGUUUAAAGGGUGCGUAGGCGGGCGCCUAAGUCAGCGGUGAAAGGCAGCGGCUCAACCGUUGAACUGCCGUUGAAACUGGGCGCCUUGGAUUCGGUCGGGGCCGGCGGAAUGCGUGGUGUAGCGGUGAAAUGCUUAGAUAUCACGCGGAACGCCGAUCGCGAAGGCAGCUGGCCAGGCCGAGAUCGACGCUGAGGCACGAAAGCGUGGGGAUCAAACAGGAUUAGAUACCCUGGUAGUCCACGCCGUAAACGAUGAUCACUGGAUGCCGGCGACACAC
rnacentral:rRNA from 1 species